rnacentral:rRNA from 1 species
AUUGAACGCUGGCGGCAGGCCUAACACAUGCAAGUCGAGCGGACGAAGGGAGCUUGCUCCUGGAUUCAGCGGCGGACGGGUGAGUAAUGCCCAGGAAUCUGCCUGGCAGUGGGGGAUAACGUCCGGAAACGGGCGCUAAUACCGCAUACGUCCAGAGGGUGAAAGUGGGGGAUCUUCGGACCUCACGCUAUCAGAUGAGCCUAGGUCGGAUUAGCUAGUUGGUGGGGUAAAGGCCUACCAAGGCGACGAUCCGUAACUGGUCUGAGAGGAUGAUCAGUCACACUGGAACUGAGACACGGUCCAGACUCCUACGGGAGGCAGCAGUGGGGAAUAUUGGACAAUGGGCGAAAGCCUGAUCCAGCCAUGCCGCGUGUGUGAAGAAGGUCUUCGGAUUGUAAAGCACUUUAAGUUGGGAGGAAGGGCAGUAAGUUAAUACCUUGCUGUUUUGACGUUACCAACAGAAUAAGCACCGGCUAACUUCGUG